UACGUAGGGGGCGAGCGUUGUCCGAAGUUAUUGGGCGUAAAGCGCGCGCAGGCGGUCCUUUAAGUCUGAUGUGAAAGCCCACGGCUCAACCGUGGAGGGUCAUUGGAAACUGGGGGACUUGAGUGCAGAAGAGGAAAGCGGAAUUCCACGUGUAGUGGUGAAAUGCGUAGAGAUGCGGAGGAACACCAGUGGCGAAAGCGGCUUUCUGGUCCUUAACUGACGCUGAGGCGCGAAAGCAUGGGGAGCGAACGGG
rnacentral:rRNA from 1 species